GUUUGUCAGUCAGCAAGUGACUUUUGUAACUUUUAAAUUUAUUUUGUUUAGAAAAGUUAGAAGAUUCUGUUGAGAAUCUAAAAAAAUUAGAACAUUCAAUGGGGCUUAUAUUUCAACAACUUAGUAAGUUACUAUAUUGUUGUUGUGGAUUG